GUCCUCAUAGCUCAAUUGGAUAGAGCGCGCCCCUCCUAAGGGUGAUAUCUGCGUUCGAUUCGCGGUGGGGAUA
rnacentral:tRNA from 1 species